AUCAUUAUCCAUGCUUUCGAUUUGAACAAAUUUACUCAAAAUAUUGACUGCAUGCAACAACAUGAACCAGAUUACUAUACUAAGCAAGAACUUAAAAUUUUGAAGUUUAUAUGUAGCUAAGAACUCAACUUUACUUUUUAUUUAAAGAUCUUCGUUAAUUUUUGCCAAGUCUAAUGAAACGUCUCUUAUUUUAAAUAAAUAAAUCGAAUACGACCUAUGUGAUAAAAAAGUUGAGUAGAAUUAAGAAAUCACUGCAAUAUGAGUUUGAAAAAUCCUAUGCCACUUGCACUUUUUUGUUGUAUUUGAAAUGAGCCUAAUUUAUAAAUGAAAUUCCCACAAUGAAAAGAUGUAUUGUGCCUUAUUUAUAAAUGGAGUGGAAUGGACCUAAUUUAUCAAAGUUUUAAUUUAAAAAAAAAUAAUAGUAGUGAACCUAAUCUACCAAAAAAAGGAUGAAAUAGGUUAAAAUCUGAGGCCCCCUCUAAUAUUGGGCUUGAGGCAUGUGCCUCACUUGCCUCUAUAUGGAACCGGCCAUGGGAGAUUUUAUGUAACCCUUUUACCUAUAUUUAAUUUUUAGGCAACCUUAUUCUUCAUUGUAAGUUGGACCUUACCUGAUUUGACUAUGGAAAUGUUGUUGAACUUCUCUUCUCAUGCAUGUACUCCAACCCAUUAGACAACAAAGCCAAAAAAGGACUCUUGGGACUUAAUUUUGUUUGUAGUUUCCUUCUUUUUAAAUCUUGGAACUAUUUCAUGAAUCUAAACUACAUAUAAGUUGUCAUGCUUGCAAGUCUAAGGAUCUUCGGUGCUCAAUUUGGGUAAUUUGAGCCUCUUAAUGACAUUUAUCUCCCGUGCGAUAUUACACUGAUGAGUAAUCUCUAUUGUGCAAGCUUCUUCUGCAAUGUCACAAUUACUGGAAAUUGGGUUGAAUUUAAAUUUGUUAAAGGCAACUAUCAUGAUAGUGUGCUAUCAUACACAUUGUGUUAACUUUCAUUAUUUGUUAGCCAAAGCACAAAUCAAACUCUAUGUUGAUAUCAUUCUUUGUAACCAUAUUGUAACAAAUGUCUUGCACACAAUGUGUUAUCAUACAUAUUCUGUUAAAUCACCUUUUUUGUACAAUAUAUGAUAACAUGAUUAAUUACACUUGCACUAUCUGGUUUUUGUAACAAUAUAAAACAUGUGUCAUGGAAUGUUACACUAACUAGAUGACAAUGAAAGGGACUUAAAAAGCAAAGGAUACUAUCAAAGUAAGAGUGCACCUAAGAAACAAGAUGUGCAAAGUGCAUAGAGUACAACCAUAGUAGAAAGACGUGUAAGGACUCACUGCCAUGGAAUCAAAUUUGAAAGAGGAAAAGAAGUUCGUAAAGUAUUAAACACGUUGAUAAGAAGUUGUUACAGAUGCUAGACUAUAGAUGGUUGGAUUUCUGUUUUAAUUUCUAAGGAGUUAAAUUCAUACCACCUUGUGUAUUCCAUAUGAAAAUAUUGAUUUGCAUGAAAGCUUAUUGUAAAAGAAUUUAUUUAUUUAUUUAUUUAUAUUUAUUUUAUUAUUUUUUUUUUUUUGUGUUCGAAAUGCAUGUUUACAAAGAUGGGAACAAGAUCAAUACGAUUUUUGGUAAAUUUCAAAUAGACAUAAAUAAUUAACAUAAUUUGUAGUAGGAUAGAUAUUAAUAUUAGAUGAAUAUUGACCAAUGAAUCAAAUAAUCCAUGAUGAUCUUUAUGGUAAUGGAAGACGUAUCAUGUCCCAUUCUCAUGAGAAAUCAGUGGAAACCUUGCAUAUUGGUUUCUAGAAAGUAUAAUACAUUUCAAAAUCCUCAAAAAAAAAAAACCAAAAUUACUAAUCAAUUUCAAUAUAAUGGGAAGCUUAAAUUCAUUAAUUAUUAUAUAAGAGAUGCUUCAUGAUUGCUGCACUAUACAAUGUAAUAUUCAUUAUGAUCAAGGUAUCAUAAAUUACAUUGUCACCAAAAAUACGGGUAAGAUGAAUGUAUAAAAAUGAGUAAAUUUUCAUAAUUUAUAAAAAAAAAACAUAUGAUGUGUUUUUAUAUCUAGAAUUACAAAUAUUAUGUCAAAAAAAUCUUGUGAAGUCCAUGACAUUGUAGAAAAUCAAACCAUUGCAAGUUUUCAUUUUAAGUAAGUUUGAAUUUCCAUGAUUUUUAUAAUCAAACUAUUAAUCAGGUGAUUGAUUUAUUAAUAUGCAAAUUCAUGGCUAUUGCCAUGUUUCAGUUACAAAAAAUCAGAGAAAUUUAAGAUGAUAGUAAUUUCAAUUUAAUUAGUAAUAACACCUAGUAUUUAUAGCAUAUAAAUUAGUGUGUAGUAUUUUAUGAAUUAUUUUGUUUUUCUUGGUUAGAUGUGAUUUUGCAUAGCUGGAACCACAAAGUUUUAAACAAUAAGUUUGGAGUCAGACAAUUACUGGAACAGUUGUUGAUGAUAAGCUAGGAAUUCGACCAGACAUGCAAUUCUCCUUAACUUCCGUCUCUUCCAAUGUGUAUAAAAUCUAUCCUCUGUAAAAUUGCAUAAAUUAGCAGUGCUAUCUCUUUAGCUUUAAGCCCAAAUCAAGUAUAAAGUAAAAUCAAUCCAAAUGCUCUCAAUUAAGUUCACCAUUCUCUAAUUAUCUAAUCUUAUCCCCCUCAGCAAUACACAACAUCCAAUUAUUGGAAGCAAUUCAAUUCACAAAUACUGGAAGCAAUUCACAUAGCUAAUCUCAUCCCCCUCAGUACAACAUCCAAUUAAGUUCACCAAUAUUUAAUGAUCUAAUCUCUAUUCUCUUGUGUCUAAGUUUUAAGUCCUAACUUAUUAAUACAUGAUUUUAUAUCAAAUACAAGACUCUAGAAAAUAUUGAUAGAACUUGAUUUUCAAUUCAACGUAUAUUAGAAAGAAAAGAUUGAAACAUUAAACAAAUCAAAAUAACACAUAAAAAGAAAAAAGAAAUAAGAUGGUUUCGGGGGCUUCACCUUCUUCUUCUGCACUUGUGCUGUCAUCUGUCGGAUCGUCGUUGGAAUCGAAGGUGUCCACCUUCUAGGGCUCAAAAAUGAAAAGGAAGUGCAAGAGAUUCAGAGAUAGUAGGAGGCUGAGAAACGAGAGACUUUCUAGAAUGUAGCUUCUUCACCUUUUUUCAAACAAGAAUAGCUUAUAGCCGACUGGAUGAAGACGGCGCCAGCAUCGAGUGAGACUGUCUGUGGUAGUUCGUUUGUGUUUGUGAGAGUUUGAGAGAGAGAUUCAAAGGCGAAGGGCAGAACUGGAACGAACGGGUGAGAGUUGAAAGGAUAUUGGAUUGGAUUGGAAUUGGGUUUCUCUUAGGCUGGGCUAAUACUUUAAAAAAAGGGCAACU
rnacentral:lncRNA from 1 species